GGAUCAAUAACAAAGUAGAAAAGUUUAAUUUCAACUCAUACAAAUAGUCCUUCAUGUGCAAGACUCCAAAAUCGACUGUAAAUUGGAGACUAAGUACUACAAGGAAUCUUCUCUCAAGUUUAAUUAGAAGUCUUCCAUAUAAUCAUUACCUUUUAUUAUUUGCAAUAGAAGUCCUUCAAAUUUUAACUUUUGGUGCAAUUACCCAACAAUCUCCACCUUGUCGAAAACGAGUCAAAAAAUCGUCAUCUCUUUUACAACUUUUAAUCACAAUACUUUGGAAAAUAUAGGUAAGUAUUUGACACACUUUAACGGUCUCAUACUCCACCAUAUGAGUAUAACCACUUAGAAUUAUCCACGAACUCCGAGCAUUCCAUCAGCUAAUGUCGAAACAAUAACCCUACUGAGUUAUGGUGCAACUCUCCCACUGACUUUUCCAGAGAGCUCAUCAGCUAUCGACAUCACAACACCACCACAUACCUACAUACCUUGCAUCAAAUAUCAGUCAAUACUAUGGGCAAAUAUGCUAACUCAAGCUAGUAAGAACACAUUCUCUAUCAUGGCAACUGGCAAUAUGUCAUGAGGAUGUUCCCAUCUUACUUUACAGCACCACAUCCGCGUUCUCUUCCACCAGUAGAGCCACAUUGUCAAACCCCAAGUAGUUAGCCAACCCUGCUUCACCUUUUGGACAAUUUUUGUUCACAUGGACAGUCUGACCGUAGUUCCAACAAGUAGCUUUCUUCCUCAUAAAGUUGUCAUUCUUUCCCUUUCCAAUCAUAAGCACCGCAUUGUCAGAUAAAAUAUUCUGUCCCCCUAAUAUUCUUGCUUCUAAGAUCAAGUUGCUUUUCACUUCUGCAAAACUCACAGUUUCCUUCCUAUACAUCAAGAUUGGCUUAUAUGUUCAUAGGUAGACGGAAGAGACUAGAUGAGCCAUAGUGCCUUAUCCACUUCAUCUAUCUUCACUCCAAUAGCCUCAAGUUCUAAAACAAUCUCGUUGAGAGCACUCAGAUUGUCUGAGAUUUUCGUAUCUGCUUCCAUGCGCAAUGAAUGAAAUUGUUUCUUUAGGUACAACUGAUUUGAGAAGCUUUUGUUUGAUAUAGUUCUUUUAGCUUCUCCCAUUGUUCCUUUGUACCAUAUAUCCCAUGAAUAUUUACAAGAACGUUUUUAGCCAGAUAGAUACAUAUCAUGCUUGCAAACUUCAAAUCCAAUUCUUCGCAAUCUUUAUCGUUUAUAUGGAUUCAACUUCCUUGCCAAAACUCUUGGUUGAUUUUCCUUUGAAAGCCCUGUGCAGUCCAGCUUGAAUCGAUAAAUCCCUAACUUGAGCGAAAGCUAACUUAGAUUCAUAUCCGAAUCUCCUAGGUUCUCUCAUUUGUUUUCUCUCUGUAUCCCUAACUAAAUUGUAGUUUGCCAAAGAAUUUUCUUCCUCAAAAUGCUUUUCUAUCACUACUUCAUCUCUAAUCUCCACCUCAGGUUCCUAAACCCGAGUAUCUACCUCAUUUGGAAUAGUAGGAACAGAUGUGCUAAGUUUUUCUAGCUCACCUUAAACUGAUGUCUCUUUUCACGUGGUUCGUUUUACUCAUAGAUUCGGGUUUAUCCCUAAGGCAAGGCAUCUCACCCUCGUUAAACGUGAC
rnacentral:lncRNA from 1 species